UUUCCUUUUUGGUAAAUGCGA
rnacentral:snRNA from 1 species